GCGGGAGUAGUUCAGUGGUAGAACGUCAGCUUCCCAAGCUGAAUGUCGCGAGUUCGAUCCUCGUCUCCCGCUCCA
rnacentral:tRNA from 1 species